GCGCCCAUAGCUCAGCUGGAUAGAGUGGCAGACUUCGAAUCUGACGGUCGUGGGUUCAAAUCCCGCUGGGCGCACCA
rnacentral:tRNA from 2 species